UGUUUUAUUCUAGGACUUACUCCUUUCAUCAGUUUGUAUGUCCAUACAAGUAUACUGACUCGGUGUCUUGGGUUAAAUUCUCCCAUUAAGGCCAGUUGGUGUCCCAGUCAAGUUUUGAAAGCCCCGCCCUCCUGGGCCUGUUCCCUAAUCUUCAACACAAGGAGCGGCUCUGGCCUUCUGAUCGUCAAAGAUAAAGCCCUGAGCACCUGCACUCCCGCGUGGCGGUUUUGGGGCUCCGUCAGGGUCCCCCUGGAGAUUCUGCCUUUCCCGGCCGCGGUGUCUUCAAAUUCCAAGAUUCCAGAGUCGUCCGUUCUACACUGGACAGACUCGGCAAAGGGAAAGCACCUCUGUGAGCGAAGGGGUCUCGGAUCGGCCUCCGCGGACCACCCGGGUCGGCGGCGCUCCAAGAUUGGGCUGGUGGAGGACCCGCCCGGAAGUGUCGAGCGGACCGCCCCGGAAGUGCCGGGACUUCCGGCCCGCGGGCGGCGGUGGCAGCGAUUACACUGCUCGGGCUCACCUGCAGACGCGGGUCCCACGUCCGAGGGAAGCACGCGGGAGUCUGGCCGGCCGCCCCUCCGGCCGCGGACCCGACGCCCCAGUGCGGCCCGGUCUUUCCCACGGCCUCCCGAGAUUUAUGAAGCCGCCGUGACCACGUGCACCCCUGGUAGCUGUGGUGUAGCCCCCAGCCGACCCUCGGCCCGCCUUUCCGAACAGAUGGGGAAACUGCGGAGGACUGGAAAAUACGCACUUGGGGCAGGCUUCCUCUUCCACCCGGGUGCCCGGGACGUUUCCUGGUCCCAGCUCUUGCACAGUCAAGAAGUAAUCUAGCAAGAAAUAUCAGCCCUGGGAGCCAAGGGAGGGAGAAUCACUGUCUCCAACUCCUACCCAGGAAUGCACCAUUAAAAUCUCAACUAUAGGAACCCUUAAUCCCACGAGAGGGUUGUAAGUAUUAAACUUUGACAUUCUGUAGUUUUCUGAAGAUUCUACAAUAAGGCACCUGAGAAGACUCUUUUUUUUAAGUUAAUAUAACAUAUCAAUGUAGGUGUGCUGUUAUGAACCCUCAGCAGAAUCUGCUUCAAAGUGAGGGUAGAACAAGAGGGCACCCGGCUCACCUGCCAUUGCCACAGUAUGUUAUUGAUAAAGAAUUCUGUCUUUGCUGCCUGUUGUCUGAGACAAGCUGUAUUCUGUUUUUUUAUGUGUCUUUGACUCUGCUUAAGGUGGUUUUGUUAUUUUACCUUGCAGGAAUUUUGAUUCUUUGUAUUGAUUUCAAAUUUAUCAAUCUUUUCAUUUAUAGCCUCUGGAUUUGGGCUUAUAAUUAGAAAGGCCUUCCUACUCUGAGGUUAUUAAAGACUUCUCCCACAUUUUCCUCUGGUACGUUUAUAGUUUUCAUUUAUAACAUUUGAAACUUUGAUUUAGGGGCGCCCAGGUGGCUCAGUUGUUUGAGCAUCCGACUUCGGCUCAGGUCAUGAUCUCGCAGUCUUUGAGUUCAAGCCCCACGUUGGGCUCUGUGCUGACAGCUCAGAGCCUGGAACCUGCUUCGGAUUCUGUGUCUCCCUCUCUCUCUCUGCCCCUCCCCCGUUUAUGCUUGGUCUCUCUCUCUCUCUCUCUCUCUCUCUCUCUCUCUCUCUCUCUCUGUCAAAAAUAAAUACACAUUAAAAAAAUUUAAAAAAAUGUUU
rnacentral:lncRNA from 1 species